ensembl:misc_RNA Metazoa_SRP Metazoan signal recognition particle RNA
GCUGGGUGUGGUGGCACACACCUGUAAUCCCAGCUACUCAGGAGGCUGAGGCAUGAGAAUCACUUGAACCCAGGAGGCGGAGGUUGCAGUGAGCCGAGAUCAUGCCACUGCACUCCACCCUGGGUGACAGAGUGAAAUUGUAUCUCUA